rnacentral:rRNA from 1 species
AACGAACGUUAGCGGCACGCUUAACACAUGCAAGUCGAACGAGAAGCCCUUCGGGGUGGACAGUGGCGCACGGGUGAGGAACACGUAGAUAAUCUACCCCCGAGUGGUGGAUAACGUUCCGAAAGGAACGCUAAUACAGCAUAACACCACGGCUCUUCGGAGUUUUGGCCAAAGCGGAGGACUUCUUCGGAAGCUUCGCGCUUGGGGAUGAGUCUGCGGCCCAUCAGCUUGUUGGUAGUGUAACGGACUACCAAGGCUAAGACGGGUAGCUGGUCUGAGAGGAUGGACAGCCACACUGGAACUGAGACACGGUCCAGACUCCUACGGGAGGCAGCAGUGGGGAAUCUUGCGCAAUGGGCGAAAGCCUGACGCAGCGAUGCCGCGUGAGCGAUGAAGGCCUUCGGGUUGUAAAGCUCUGUGGAUGGAGACGAAUAAGCGGUAGUUAAUACCUGCCGUGAUGACGGUAUCCAUUAGCAAGCCACCGGCUA